CUCGUCUGCCCAAAGUUCUUUCCUUAUACCCAUUUCUUUAAGAUCAUUGCGAGCUUUAAGAUUGUCUUUUGACUUUUCAGUAUCAUUGAGCAAAGUAUAUAUCACAUUCUCACACACAUUCUUCUCAAUGUCCAUAAGGUCUACAUUAUGACGCAACAAGUUUGAUUCUCAAUAAGGAAGAUAAAAAAUAUGCUUCUCUUU
rnacentral:lncRNA from 1 species